UACGAAGGGGGGCUAGCGUUGCUCGGAAUCACUGGGCGUAAAGGGUGCGUAGGCGGGUCUUUUAAGUCAGGGGGUGAAAUCCUGGAGCUCAACUCCAGAACUGCCUUUGAUACUGAAGAUCUUGAGUUCGGGGAGAGGUGAGUGGAACUGCGAGUGUAGAGGUGAAAUUGUAGAUAUCGCAAAGAACACCAGUGGCGAAGGCGGCUCACUGGCCCGAUACUGACGCUGAGGCACGAAAGCGUGGGGGAGCAAACAGG
rnacentral:rRNA from 1 species